GAGCUUUUCUUCCUGAUGGCUUAUCUACCGAUCAAAGCAACUUCUACCUCACCAGCAGAUACAGAGGCAACUUCUUCCAUAGAUUUCUUCACCAGUUUUCCUUAGCUGUCUCCUUGGAAAGCAGAUACCAUGUCAUGGAAAUGCCAUAGGAAAAAAUGUGAGGUCUCCAGUCAACCGACCACAUGGAAUUGAAACCUGUCAACAAACAAGUAGUGAGUUUGGAAGCAGAUCCUCCAACCCCAUUUGAGCCUCAUGAGAGACCCUGAGACUAAAACACAAGCUAAGCCACUUCUGGAUUCCUGACAAACAGAAACUAAGAGGAGUCCCAUCAAAUUUUAGUCACAAAAUUAAAGGGGAAAAGGAAAAAGGAAGGAGCAGAAUGAUGCAGUAGAAGAGUCCACUGAUCACUGUCCCCCCACCGACAAGGACACCAAUUUAACAACUAUCUACACAGAAGAAAGACAGAAAGAAAGAAAAAAAAAAAAACACCUUCAUGAGAACCAGAACCAAAAAUCAGAUGAGCACUCAUAGUAGCUGGUUCUAACUUCACAAUGUUGAAAGAAGCACUGAAGAGAGAGAAAAAACACUGAAAUGCCUAUGCCACCCUGCCCCCACCCCCACCCUUCUGCAGUGGCAGCAUGGGACAGAGAGCAUCUCUGGGCCCUGGAGAAGAGAGAACACAGUAAUUGUGAGGCAAUGAACUCAGUGCUGUCCUGGUAGAUCAGAAAGGAAAUCUGGACCAAACUCAGCUAAUGCCCAUCCACAGAGGGAGGAUUUAAAUCAGCCCUAACCAGAGGGAAAUUACUUAUCCCAGCUACCUGAACUUGAGUUCCUGAAAACCUCCCCUCCAAAGGCUACAGUGCUCUGUGUCUCCAAGUAAACUUGAAAGGCAGUCUAAGCCAUAAGAACUGCAACCCUUAGGUGAGUCCUAGUGCUGAACUAGGCCCAGAGACAGUGGACUAGGGGACACGUCACAUACUGAGAUAUAAGCUGGGGCCACCAAGGGAAUGCUGGCAUUAUCCCUUCCCUAACCCCAGGCUGCACAGCUUGUGGCUCUAAAAGAGACCCCUUUCUUCCUCUAGAGAAGAGGACAGGGAAGAACUUUGUCUUGCAUAUUGGAUACCAGCUCAACCACAGCAGGAUAGGACACCAGUCGGGGUCAUGAGGAAGCAGUUCCAGGCCCUAGCUCCCAGGUGCCAUUUCUAGACACAUGUGCUGCCUUAAAGGAAAGGAGUCAGUCUUGACAGCAUUCAACAGCUGCUAACUGAAGAACCCUUGGACCCCGAACAACGAGCCUGGAUACCCAGAUACUAUGUCAAGUGUCUUGGGUAAGCCUCUGAGACUUGCUGGCUUUAGGUACAGCAUGGUCACAGGAGUGUAGAGCACAAAAGUAGCCUGAUGGUAUUCCUGAUUCCAGGACCUGACCCUUGGAUGGCAUUUCUGAAACCUGCCCUGAAGCAGAGGGGAACCCAGUACCCUGAAAGCUCCACUCUCUACCCUUCAUGCUCUGCGAAGAUGACCCUGUGGACUGCAUCAAUUGGGCCCCAUUGACUUCUGACUUCCAAUGAGAGGCACCAGUAGAAAAUAGCCCCAUUCAUUUUCCUGCUUUCUUUACUGCUUGGAUAUUGAUCUUCAAUAAACAGAAAAUGGAAACCCUAAAACAGUACCAUUAUCCACUUAGAAUACAGCAGGCUGAAACCAGCAACAAAAUGAAGAUAUAUAUUUCCAGCCUAUAUUUUGAGCAUCGUGGAACUUUCUGGAUGCAGCACAAACCAGGGGGGAGUUACCAUUCUGUAGGAAUUGUGGCCAAUGUGGAUAAAGAACUACCACUGAAAAGAUGGAAGCCUACAGAACAGACCAAAAGAUAAAUGUUCUCUGAGUUUCUAAAAUGCUUAGAUGGGUUUCAUGACUUUUGCACCUUCUGAAACUGAAUUUUCUAUUAAUGAAACCACAAAAAUAAUAUGAUAUUUUUGGGAGUUUAUACUCAAAGUUGGCUAACAAUAAUGAAGUGGAAUGGAGACACUUAGGGACUCUAUUAUAGAUGGCAUGACAGGAAUAGAUAGCAUAAAUAAUUGGUAUCUUUAAACUCCUGAGGCCGACUCUAAACAAUAUCUUUCAUAUCUAUGUUCUCCUUCUUUUAAAUCCAUGUAUUUCAUAAGUCCUGAUAACUUAAAUGAUUGAAUUCCACAAAGGUGUCCUGACUCAGCUCACCCUCUCCUGGAGGUGUUAAUGAACAGUGAAACAGUGACGAAAACAGUAGCAGAGUGAAUAAAGGAGCUGAUGGGAACAAAAGAUUGUGUUUUGUUUAUUUGAUCUUUAAAAUAUAGAGUAUUGAUAUUGUCAUAAUAAAAGCUAAGGCAUAGAAUGCAUUUAAUCCUAUACAUUUUCCACUUGGCUUUCAGUGAUGCAUAAGACUUACUAAGAUUGGCAUACUAUAUAAAGGCCUCAAAAGGAGGUAUGUACUGUGUUAAGUUCUUUGCAUGCAUUAUCUCUAGUCGGUCCUUAAAUGGUGAAGCUGUACAGUGUAGGAAAGAUACAGUAUAAGGUAAUGAUUAAAAACUUACCCUAGAGGCAGAUACCUGGAUUAGAAUCCUAGUUCUUCCACGUAUUUGCUGUAUGAUUUUGAGCAAGCUACUUAAAUUAUAUUCUCUUCAGCAUUUUUUUUUGUAAAGUAGAGGUAAUAAUGUUUAUCAUUCUGGGCAUUUGUAAACUUAAAUAUAUUUUUAAAUAAAGAAUGCUUAAAACAUGCUUACUACAAAAUGAACCCUUAGUAAAUUAUGUACAAAUGUAAUAAGUUGGAUACACUUAAAAGGGUUAAUUAUAAUUCUUAAGUUCUCACAGUUUUAGUGGUGAAAAUGGGCCAAAAACCAAGAUCUGAUUUAAAAGUGAAAGUUCACGUUGAAUGCAUAUCCUAUAUACUGUCACUUUCCUUUCAUCUAAUUAAGUAUUUAGAACAAAUGAUUAUAUUUGCAGAAUACAUCUGUAGAGUAAUGUUUUAAAAGAAACAAAUGCCUCUGCCAUGCUAGUUGACAAAUGAUAUUUUAGCAAGGUGAUGCCUAGAAAAGAUGCUCUAAUAUUUGCAAUAAUCCCAAGGCAGCUUUUAACUCAUAAAUGAAAAUGGCUUUCCUCUGUAGAAAACUUGUCAAGUAACUGAUUAUUAUUAUCUUGUAAAGGCCAGUUGAUGUCUUCCUCAUUCAUAGCCCAACAAUGUUCCAAGGAGGAAGAGGUCAUUUAGAGAGAAACCUGAGACACUAAUCAAGUUGACUACAAGUGACUUUUUUCCUCAACAUCUCUUUCUUCAUGUAUUUUUUUAAAAAAGGUUUUAACUAGAUUAUCACUAAAAUCUGUUACAGGUGUUUUUCCAACUGCAUACCAUUACUAUCAGGGGAGAAAGGAGGGGAGAUGAUGAAAAAGCAUCUAGCUGUUCUGGCAAAAUUACCCAGAUCACAUACCUAACCCAACUUGUGUAUUAUUACUUAAUGUUUAACAAGAGGGAGCAAAGAUGUGUCAAAUUAAUUGUCUAAUAAUAAUCUUACAUAAGACAUAAGAUGACAUAAGACAAAGACUACAUUCAUAAAGGAAAUAAUGAACCCUCAUAUUUAUAAAAAGCUUUAGUUUAAAGUACUAUGUAAUAUGCAAAGACACACAGAGCGGUAUAUUAGACACUGAGACUCAGAAGAGGGGAGCAUGGGAGCAGUUGGAGGGAUCAAAAGCUAUUUAUUGGGUACAAUGUACACUGCUCGGGUGGCAGUUGUACUAAAAUUUCAGACUUUACUGCUAUAUAAUUCAUCCAUGUAACCAAAACCACUUGUAUCCCUAAAACUACUGAAAUAAAAAAUUAAAAUAAAAAAUAAAAUCAAGUGUUACAUAUUGAACAUUGAAUUUACAAAAACCUUACAAAGUAGCUGUUAUUACUGUCUUUACAGCAAAGGAAAAGAGCACUUUCAGCAAUUUUAAGGUGUCUAAUGAAAGAAAUCAUUUUAAGAAUUUAAGGCCAGGCGCGGCGGCUCACGCCUGUAAUCCCAGC
ensembl:lncRNA novel transcript